UACGUAGGGGGCAAGCGUUGUCCGGAAUUAUUGGGCGUAAAGCGCGCGCAGGCGGUCAUGUAAGUCUGGUGUUUAAACCCAAGGCUCAACCUUGGGUCGCAUUGGAAACUGCAUGGCUUGAGUACAGAAGAGGAGAGUGGAAUUCCACGUGUAGCGGUGAAAUGCGUAGAUAUGUGGAGGAACACCAGUGGCGAAGGCGACUCUCUGGGCUGUAACUGACGCUGAGGCGCGAAAGCGUGGGGAGCAAACAGG
rnacentral:rRNA from 1 species